AUGGAGAACUUGGUUCAGGAUUUGCAAGAUGAGCUGGAGAUGAAAGAGGGGUUAACUGUGAAGGAACUGCCUAAUGAGACGUCUGGUGAACUAGAUGAUGGCAAUAUCAAAGCUCACACCCCUGAUUCAAUAUCAAUGAGCAAAAUUGAAGCAGAACUUGAAGCCGAGCUUGCGAGGCUGGAGUUAAAUAUCACUUCAAACCACUUGGAAGAAGAACCGUUUGACUUGAUUGAGAUCGAUCAGGAGUUCAUUGAAGAUAUUGUUCAGGGGGAACUGAAGAGCGACAUGAUUCGUCGUGACAUUGCUGAUUACAGCAGUGAUAGUGACCAUGGCAGGGACAGCAGACAAAGCUCCCCAGAUUACACACAUGAGACAAACUAUCCUGUCUCACCUAGAGAUCUCAGUCUCCGUCUCCACAAGGUGAUCCAGCAUAGGCUGGAAGAGCGAAUCAAGGAGCUUGAGACAGCACUAGCUCAGAGCCAGAAGCAGGCGCAACUGCACAUGAUGGCGAGAGAGCGAGUCUUCUCCGAACAGACGUGCUUAAACAGUGAUUCAGGUUCUUCUUCCAACCAGGAUAGUCCAUUGUUUAUACAAGAAACUAGCUCCUCCGCCGAACCUUUCUGUCUAAAUCUAGCUGGAGACGCACUAGAAGCCUACGAUGAAGCCUAUGAAGAAUUCAUGAGAAUUGCUGACUCCCCUUGCACCACAAGUACAAACGGGAGGCCUCAGGUAAAUGAAGAUUACUCAGUGGACCGCAGCUUGAUCUGGGGCUUGGAAGAUGAGAGCGCUACGGAGCUGAAAGAGGACAGCGCUUGGGAGCAGGCUGUGAAGAGCGGGGACCCUAACAGAGCUCAAGAGAGCGAUGGAGACGAGUCGGGCGACGAGGAUGACCACGAUAGUGCUCAUCCAACAGAUUGUAGAGAGAACUAA
rnacentral:rRNA from 1 species